rnacentral:rRNA from 1 species
AUUGAACGCUGGCGGCAGGCUUAACACAUGCAAGUCGAGCGGGGUGAUGGUGCUUGCACUAUCACUUAGCGGCGGACGGGUGAGUAAUGCUUAGGAAUCUGCCUAUUAGUGGGGGACAACAUCUCGAAAGGGAUGCUAAUACCGCAUACGUCCUACGGGAGAAAGCAGGGGAUCACUUGUGACCUUGCGCUAAUAGAUGAGCCUAAGUCGGAUUAGCUAGUGGGUGGGGUAAAGGCCUACCAAGGCGACGAUCUGUAGCGGGUCUGAGAGGAUGAUCGGCAACACUGGGACUGAGACACGGCCCAGACUCCUACGGGAGGCAGCAGGGGGGAAUAUUGGACAAUGGGGGGAACCGUGAUCCAGCCAUGCGGCGUGUGUGAAGAAGGCCUUAUGGUUGUAAAGCACUUUAAGCGAGGAGGAGGCUCUUUUGGUUAAUACCCAAGAUGAGUGGACGUUACUCGCAGAAUAAGCACCGGCUAACUCUGUGCCAGCCGCCGCGGUAA